CCUACGGGAGGCAGCAGUGGGGGAUAUUGCACAAUGGGGGGAACCCUGAUGCAGCGACGCCGCGUGGGUGAAGGAGCGUUUCGGCGCGUAAAGCCCUAUCGGCAGGGAAGAAGGAGGACGGUACCUGACUAAGAAGCCCCGGCUAACUACGUGCCAGCAGCCGCGGUAAUACGUAGGGGGCAAGCGUUAUCCGGAUUUACUGGGUGUAAAGGGGGCGCAGGCUGUGAGGUAAGUCAGCGGUGAAUGCCCCCGCUCAACGGGGUGAAGUGCCAUUGAUACUGCCUUGCUGGAAUGCGGAUGCCGUGGGAGGAAUGUGUGGUGUAGCGGUGAAAUGCAUAGAUAUCACACAGAACACCGAUUGCGAAGGCAUCUCACGAAUCCGCGAUUGACGCUGAUGCACGAAAGCGUGGGUAUCAAACAGGAUUAGAUACCCUUGUAGUC
rnacentral:rRNA from 1 species